rnacentral:rRNA from 1 species
AUUGAACGCUGGCGGCAGGCCUAACACAUGCAAGUCGAGCGGAUGAAGGGAGCUUGCUCCUGGAUUCAGCGGCGGACGGGUGAGUAAUGCCUAGGAAUCUGCCUGGUAGUGGGGGAUAACGUCCGGAAACGGGCGCUAAUACCGCAUACGUCCUGAGGGAGAAAGUGGGGGACCUUCGGACCUCACGCUAUCAGAUGAGCCUAGGUCGGAUUAGCUAGUUGGUGGGGUAAAGGCCUACCAAGGCGACGAUCCGUAACUGGUCUGAGAGGAUGAUCAGUCACACUGGAACUGAGACACGGUCCAGACUCCUACGGGAGGCAGCAGUGGGGAAUAUUGGACAAUGGGCGAAGGCCUGAUCCAGCCAUGCCGCGUGUGUGAAGAAGGUCUUCGGAUUGUAAAGCACUUUAAGUUGGGAGGAAGGGCAGUAAGUUAAUACCUUCCUGUUUUGACGUUACCAACAGAAUAAGCACCGGCUAACUUCGUG